GAUGAACGCUGGCGGCGUGCCUAAUACAUGCAAGUCGAGCGAACAGACGAGGAGCUUGCUCCUCUGACGUUAGCGGCGGACGGGUGAGUAACACGUGGAUAACCUACCUAUAAGACUGGGAUAACUUCGGGAAACCGGAGAUAAUACCGGAUAAUAUAUUGAACCGCAUGGUUCAAUAGUGAACGACGGUUUUGCUGUCACUUAUAGAUGGAUCCGCACCGCAUUAGCUAGUUGGUAAGGUAACGGCUUACCAAGGCAACGAUGCGUAGCCGACCUGAGAGGGUGAUCGGCCACACUGGAACUGAGACACGGUCCAGACUCCUACGGGAGGCAGCAGUAGGGAAUCUUCCGCAAUGGGCGAAAGCCUGACGGAGCAACGCCGCGUGAGUGAUGAAGGUCUUCGGAUCGUAAAACUCUGUUAUUAGGGAAGAACAAAUGUGUAAGUAACUAUGCACGUCUUGACGGUACCUAAUCAGAAAGCCACGGCUAACUACGUG
rnacentral:rRNA from 1 species